UACAGGGGGGGCAAGCGUUGUUCGGAAUUACUGGGCGUAAAGGGCUCGUAGGUGGCCAACUAAGUCAGACGUGAAAUCCCUCAGCUUAACUGGGGAACUGCGUCUGAUACUGGAUGGCUUGAGUUUGGGAGAGGGAUGCGGAAUUCCAGGUGUAGCGGUGAAAUGCGUAGAUAUCUGGAGGAACACCGGUGGCGAAGGCGGCCAACUGGACGAAUACUGACGCUGAGACACGAAAGCGUGGGGAGCAAACAGG
rnacentral:rRNA from 1 species